GAUGAACGCUGGCGGCGUGCUUAACACAUGCAAGUCGAACGGUGAAGCAGGAGCUUGCUCUUGUGGAUCAGUGGCGAACGGGUGAGUAACACGUGAGCAACCUGCCCCUGACUCUGGGAUAAGCGCUGGAAACGGCGUCUAAUACUGGAUAUGUGAUGUGACCGCAUGGUCUGCAUCUGGAAAGAAUUUCGGUUGGGGAUGGGCUCGCGGCCUAUCAGCUUGUUGGUGAGGUAAUGGCUCACCAAGGCGUCGACGGGUAGCCGGCCUGAGAGGGUGACCGGCCAAACUGGGACGGAGGAACGGCCCAGACUCCUACGGGAGGCAGCAGUGGGGAAUAUUGCACAAUGGGCGGAAGCCUGAUGCAGCAACGCCGCGUGAGGGAUGACGGCCUUCGGGUUGUAAACCUCUUUUAGCAGGGAAGAAGCGAAAGUGACGGUACCUGCAGAAAAAGCACCGGCUAACUACGUGCCAGCAGCCGCCGUAA
rnacentral:rRNA from 1 species